rnacentral:lncRNA from 1 species
UUUCGUUCAAGUGCCCCCCACAAUUCCUUCGAUGUCUUAGUUCCACUGUAAAUAUUGUAUAGGUCAUCUUGGAGACCACUCAGAAUAUAAUUCCUACAAAGGAAGUCUGAAUAUUUCCAACCUUCUACAAUUACAAAACACUCUUUGUCCGAGGUUCCCUCGGGCACCUCAGGAGCGUCUUCACUAGUGAACCGUUGUAGACAUAAAGUGGAGAGGUAAGAGAACAUCUUUU